rnacentral:lncRNA from 14 species
GGGGAGCAAGGACAGCUGGCAGCUUCAUGAAGACAGAUGUGCUGAGUGCUGAGGGUGACAGGUGAGAAGCAAUUACUACAUCAGUCAGGGGCCUGAAGCUGAGUCAGCACUAUCAGAGCCAUGACCAGAGAUGAUGACUCAGAUCAGCCUCUGUUCAGUGAUUGCCUAGCAAGUCGGUGGUGAUAAGGAAAUGUGAUCAGAAUAAAGAAUAUGGUGUUCCCAAAAAGCAGAACUCGUUUUUUCUUCUCUUCAUGGGACAACUUUCCCUAGCCUCUGCCUGUGUGAAUGCCUGUAACUCGCUUAAAGGAACAAGAAACACCAGCCCACCAGUAACAAAAUGAAGUCUUAUGUAAGGGAGAAUGUUUAAUUUGUAAAAGAAGCAGAGAAGAUUACUGGAAUAUUUUGAUAAACAAUUUAAGCUCCUGGAGUGACUCCUCUAAAUCGGCUUCCGAAGAGAGACAGAAAUAUGUUGAAGUGAGGGCUGCAUUAGCUAUUUUUACAGUAAGAAGAGAAAGACAAGUUUGCACAAAAAAACAGAUAGAGGAAACAAGAAAUUGUACCUUGACUGUUCUGCAGCCUCCAGUCUAUGGAUCAUUUGAACACCUAAGAAAAAUGAACCUGGACAGAUCCAUAAAAAUGGAAUUUCAAAAUGUUGUCUGCUACAUGGGCUUAUCAAGAUUAUAUACAGACAGUGAAUGCAUUGUGCUUAGCUGGCUAUUUUCUCAAUGCAAGAAUACAGGUAAGUAUCUCAUGGUGAUGUAAAUCGUGUAUAAAUAUAGAAACC